rnacentral:rRNA from 1 species
UGGCGGGUGCUAUACAUGCAAGUCGAGCGGACUUGAUGAGAAGCUUGCUUCUCUGAUGGUUAGCGGCGGACGGGUGAGUAACACGUAGGCAACCUGCCUGUAAGAUCGGGAUAACUACCGGAAACGGUAGCUAAGACCGGAUAAUCGGUUUCUCCGCAUGGAGAGAUCGUGAAACACGGAGCAAUCUGUGGCUUACGGAUGGGCCUGCGGCGCAUUAGCUAGUUGGUGAGGUAACGGCUCACCAAGGCGACGAUGCGUAGCCGACCUGAGAGGGUGAACGGCCACACUGGGACUGAGACACGGCCCAGACUCCUACGGGAGGCAGCAGUAGGGAAUCUUCCGCAAUGGACGCAAGUCUGACGGAGCAACGCCGCGUGAGUGAUGAAGGUUUUCGGAUCGUAAAGCUCUGUUGCCAGGGAAGAACGCCAAGGAGAGUAACUGCUCUUUGGGUGACGGUACCUGAGAAGAAAGCCCCGGCUAACUACGUGCCAGCAGCCGCGGUAAUACGUAGGGGGCAAGCGUUGUCCGGAAUUAUUGGGCGUAAAGCGCGCGCAGGCGGUUUUUUAAGUCUGGUGUUUAAUCCCGAGGCUCAACCUCGGUUCGCACCGGAAACUGGGAGACUGGAGUGCAGGAGAGGAAAGUGGAAUUCCACGUGUAGCGGUGAAAUGCGUAGAGAUGUGGAGGAACACCAGUGGCGAAGGCGACUUUCUGGCCUGUAACUGACGCUGAGGCGCGAAAGCGUGGGGAGCAAACAGGAUUAGAUACCCUGGUAGUCCACGCCGUAAACGAUGCAUGCUAGGUGUUAGGGGUUUCGAUACCCUUGGUGCCGAAGUUAACACAGUAAGCAUGCCGCCUGGGGAGUACGCUCGCAAGAGUGAACUCAAAGGAAUUGACGGGGACCCGCACAAGCAGUGAGUAUGUGGUUUAAUUCGAAGCAACGCGAAGACUUACCAGUCUUGACAUCCCUCUGACGGCUAGAAGAAUAAGCUUCUCGGGAAAGAGUGACAGUUGUGCAUGUGUCGUCAGCUCGUUCUGAAUGUGGGUAGUUCCCGCACGAGCCACCCUGGACUAGUGCAGCAGUAGCUGGCACUCUAGUGACUGCUGUACACCGAGAGCCGGAUAGACGCUCAAAUCUACUAUGCCUCG